GUGAUGGCGUGCCUUUUGUAGAAUGAACCGGCGAGUUACGAUUUGAUGCAAGGUUAAGCAGUAAAUGUGGAGCCGUAGCGAAAGCGAGUCUGAAUAGGGCGUUUAGUAUUUGGUCGUAGACCCGAAACCAGGUGAUCUACCCUUGGUCAGGUUGAAGUUCAGGUAACACUGAAUGGAGGACCGAACCGACUUACGUUGAAAAGUGAGCGGAUGAACUGAGGGUAGCGGAGAAAUUCCAAUCGAACCUGGAGAUAGCUGGUUCUCUCCGAAAUAGCUUUAGGGCUAGCCUCAAGUGAUGAUUAUUGGAGGUAGAGCACUGUUUGGACGAGGGGCCCCUCUCGGGUUACCGAAUUCAGACAAACUCCGAAUGCCAAUUAAUUUAACUUGGGAGUCAGAACAUGGGUGAUAAGGUCCGUGUUCGAAAGGGAAACAGCCCAGACCACCAGCUAAGGUCCCAAAAUAUAUGUUAAGUGGAAAAGGAUGUGGCGUUGCCCAGACAACUAGGAUGUUGGCUUAGAAGCAGCCAUCAUUUAAAGAGUGCGUAAUAGCUCACUAGUCGAGUGACACUGCGCCGAAAAUGUACCGGGGCUAAACAUAUUACCGAAGCUGUGGAUUGUCCUUUGGACAAUGGUAGGAGAGCGUUCUAAGGGCGUUGAAGCAUGAUCGUAAGGACAUGUGGAGCGCUUAGAAGUGAGAAUGCCGGUGUGAGUAGCGAAAGACGGGUGAGAAUCCCGUCCACCGAUUGACUAAGGUUUCCAGAGGAAGGCUCGUCCGCUCUGGGUUAGUCGGGUCCUAAGCUGAGGCCGACAGGCGUAGGCGAUGGAUAACAGGUUGAUAUUCCUGUACCACCUAUAAUCGUUUUAAUCGAUGGGGGGACGCAGUAGGAUAGGCGAAGCGUGCGAUUGGAUUGCACGUCUAAGCAGUAAGGCUGAGUAUUAGGCAAAUCCGGUACUCGUUAAGGCUGAGCUGUGAUGGGGAGAAGACAUUGUGUCUUCGAGUCGUUGAUUUCACACUGCCGAGAAAAGCCUCUAGAUAGAAAAUAGGUGCCCGUACCGCAAACCGACACAGGUAGUCAAGAUGAGAAUUCUAAGGUGAGCGAGCGAACUCUCGUUAAGGAACUCGGCAAAAUGACCCCGUAACUUCGGGAGAAGGGGUGCUCUUUAGGGUUAACGCCCAGAAGAGCCGCAGUGAAUAGGCCCAAGCGACUGUUUAUCAAAAACACAGGUCUCUGCUAAACCGUAAGGUGAUGUAUAGGGGCUGACGCCUGCCCGGUGCUGGAAGGUUAAGAGGAGUGGUUAGCUUCUGCGAAGCUACGAAUCGAAGCCCCAGUAAACGGCGGCCGUAACUAUAACGGUCCUAAGGUAGCGAAAUUCCUUGUCGGGUAAGUUCCGACCCGCACGAAAGGCGUAACGAUUUGGGCACUGUCUCAACGAGAGACUCGGUGAAAUCAUAGUACCUGUGAAGAUGCAGGUUACCCGCGACAGGACGGAAAGACCCCGUGGAGCUUUACUGUAGCCUGAUAUUGAAAUUCGGCACAGCUUGUACAGGAUAGGUAGGAGCCUUUGAAACGUGAGCGCUAGCUUACGUGGAGGCGCUGGUGGGAUACUACCCUAGCUGUGUUGGCUUUCUAACCCGCACCACUUAUCGUGGUGGGAGACAGUGUCAGGCGGGCAGUUUGACUGGGGCGGUCGCCUCCUAAAAGGUAACGGAGGCGCUCAAAGGUUNCCUCAGAAUGGUUGGAAAUCAUUCAUAGAGUGUAAAGGCAUAAGGGAGCUUGACUGCGAGACCUACAAGUCGAGCAGGGUCGAAAGACGGACUUAGUGAUCCGGUGGUUCCGCAUGGAAGGGCCAUCGCUCAACGGAUAAAAGCUACCCCGGGGAUAACAGGCUUAUCUCCCCCAAGAGUUCACAUCGACGGGGAGGUUUGGCACCUCGAUGUCGGCUCAUCGCAUCCUGGGGCUGUAGUCGGUCCCAAGGGUUGGGCUGUUCGCCCAUUAAAGCGGUACGCGAGCUGGGUUCAGAACGUCGUGAGACAGUUCGGUCCCUAUCCGUCGUGGGCGUAGGAAAUUUGAGAGGAGCUGUCCUUAGUACGAGAGGACCGGGAUGGACAUACCUCUGGUGUACCAGUUGUCGUGCCAACGGCAUAGCUGGGUAGCUAUGUGUGGACGGGAUAAGUGCUGAAAGCAUCUAAGCAUGAAGCCCCCCUCAAGAUGAGAUUUCCCAACUUCGGUUAUAAGAUCCCUCAAAGAUGAUGAGGUUAAUAGGUUCGAGGUGGAAGCAUGGUGACAUGUGGAGCUGACGAAUACUAAUCGAUCGAAGACUUAAUCAA
rnacentral:rRNA from 1 species